UAGGGAAUCUUCGGCAAUGGACGAAAGUCUGACCGAGCAACGCCGCGUGAGUGAAGAAGGUUUUCGGAUCGUAAAACUCUGUUGUUAGAGAAGAACAAGGACGUUAGUAACUGAACGUCCCCUGACGGUAUCUAACCAGAAAGCCACGGCUAACUACGUGCCAGCAGCCGCGGUAAUACGUAGGUGGCAAGCGUUGUCCGGAUUAUUGGGCGUAAAGCGAGCGCAGGCGGUUUCUUAAGUCUGAUGUGAAAGCCCCCGGCUCAACCGGGGAGGGUCAUUGGAAACUGGGAGACUUGAGUGCAGAAGAGGAGAGUGGAAUUCCAUGUGUAGCGGUGAAAUGCGUAGAUAUAUGGAGGAACACCAGUGGCGAAGGCGGCUCUCUGGUCUGUAACUGACGCUGAGGCUCGAAAGCGUGGGGAGCAAACAGG
rnacentral:rRNA from 2 species